rnacentral:rRNA from 1 species
AUGAACGCUAGCGACAGGCUUAACACAUGCAAGUCGAGGGGCAGCACAGGUAGCAAUACCGGGUGGCGACCGGCGCACGGGUGAGUAACGCGUAUGCAACUUACCUAUCAGAGGGGGAUAACCCGGCGAAAGUCGGACUAAUACCGCAUGAAGCAGGGGCCCCGCAUGGGGAUAUUUGCUAAAGAUUCAUCGCUGAUAGAUAGGCAUGCGUUCCAUUAGGCAGUUGGCGGGGUAACGGCCCACCAAACCGACGAUGGAUAGGGGUUCUGAGAGGAAGGUCCCCCACAUUGGUACUGAGACACGGACCAAACUCCUACGGGAGGCAGCAGUGAGGAAUAUUGGUCAAUGGCCGAGAGGCUGAACCAGCCAAGUCGCGUGAGGGAUGAAGGUUCUAUGGAUCGUAAACCUCUUUUAUAAGGGAAUAAAGUGCGGGACGUGUCCCGUUUUGUAUGUACCUUAUGAAUAAGGAUCGGCUAACUCCGUGCCAGCAGCCGCGGUAAUACGGAGGAUCCGAGCGUUAUCCGGAUUUAUUGGGUUUAAAGGGUGCGUAGGCGGCCUUUUAAGUCAGCGGUGAAAGUCUGUGGCUCAACCAUAGAAUUGCCGUUGAAACUGGGGGGCUUGAGUAUGUUUGAGGCAGGCGGAAUGCGUGGUGUAGCGGUGAAAUGCAUAGAUAUCACGCAGAACCCCGAUUGCGAAGGCAGCCUGCCAAGCCAUGACUGACGCUGAUGCACGAAAGCGUGGGGAUCAAACAGGAUUAGAUACCCUGGUAGUCCACGCAGUAAACGAUGAUCACUAGCUGUUUGCGAUACACUGUAAGCGGCACAGCGAAAGCGUUAAGUGAUCCACCUGGGGAGUACGCCGGCAACGGUGAAACUCAAAGGAAUUGACGGGGGCCCGCACAAGCGGUGGAUUAUGUGGUUUAAUUCGAAGCAACGCGAAGAACCUUACCAGGGUUUGACAUCCUGCUAACGAAGUAGAGAUACAUUAGGUGCCCUUCGGGGAAAGCAGAGACAGGUGGUGCAUGGUUGUCGUCAGCUCGUGCCGUGAGGUGUCGGCUUAAGUGCCAUAACGAGCGCAACCCUUGCCACUAGUUACUAACAGGUAAAGCUGAGGACUCUGGUGGGACUGCCAGCGUAAGCUGCGAGGAAGGCGGGGAUGACGUCAAAUCAGCACGGCCCUUACAUCCGGGGCGACACACGUGUUACAAUGGCGUGGACAAAGGGAGGCCACCUGGUGACAGGGAGCGAAUCCCCAAACCACGUCUCAGUUCGGAUCGGAGUCUGCAACCCGACUCCGUGAAGCUGGAUUCGCUAGUAAUCGCGCAUCAGCCAUGGCGCGGUGAAUACGUUCCCGGGCCUUGUACACACCGCCCGUCAAGCCAUGGGAGCCGGGGGUACCUGAAGUCCGUAACCGAAAGGAUCGGCCUAGGGUAAAACUGGUGACUGGGGCU